AAGACCUUGCGCUUUUGGAGCGGCCGAUGCCUGAUUAGCUUGUUGAUAAGGUAAAAGCUUACCAAGGCUUCGAUCAGUAGCUGGUCUGAGAGGACGACCAGCCACACUGGGACUGAGACACGGCCCAGACUCCUACGGGAGGCAGCAGUGGGGAAUUUUGGACAAUGGGGGCAACCCUGAUCCAGCCAUGCCGCGUGAGUGAAGAAGGCCUUCGGGUUGUAAAGCUCUUUCAGCCGGAACGAAACGGUUACGGAUAACACCCGUGACUACUGACGGUACCGGAAGAAGAAGCACCGGCUAACUACGUGCCAGCAGCCGCGGUAAUACGUAGGGUGCGAGCGUUAAUCGGAAUUACUGGGCGUAAAGCGUGCGCAGGUGGUUUUGUAAGUCAGAUGUGAAAGCCCCGGGCUCAACCUGGGAACU
rnacentral:rRNA from 1 species